AUGGCUCAGGAUGAACGCUAGCGGCAGGCUUAACACAUGCAAGUCGAGGGGCAUCGGGAGUAGCAAUACUUGCCGGCGACCGGCGCAAGGGUGCGUAACGCGUGAGCAACAUGCCCGUAUCAGGGGGAUAAUCCAUGGAAACGUGGUCUAAUACCCCAUAGUAAUUAUGUAAGGCAUCUUAUAUAAUUUAAAGCUUUGGUGGAUACGGAUUGGCUCGCGUGACAUUAGCUGGAUGGUAAGGUAACGGCUUACCAUGGCUACGAUGUCUAGGGGUUCUGAGAGGAAGGUCCCCCCACACUGGAACUGAGACACGGUCCAGACUCCUACGGGAGGCAGCAGUGAGGAAUAUUGGACAAUGGAUGGAAAUCUGAUCCAGCCAUGCCGCGUGCAGGAAAGACGGCCCUAUGGGUUGUAAACUGCUUUUGUAUGGGAGCAAUAAGGGCUACGUGUAGUCCGAUGAGAGUACCAUACGAAUAAGCACCGGCUAACUCCGUGCCAGCCGCAGC
rnacentral:rRNA from 1 species